UGGGGGAUAUUGCACAAUGGGCGAAAGCCUGAUGCAGCGACGCCGCGUGGGGGAUGAAGGCCUUCGGGUUGUAAACUUCUUUUGCUCUGAACAAGGCAUGCUAAUGGGUGUGUUGAGUGUAGGGGUUGAUUAGCGCCGGCUAACUACGUGCCAGCAGCCGCGGUAAUACGUAGGGCGCGAGCGUUGUCCGGAAUUAUUGGGCGUAAAGGGCUUGUAGGUGGCUGGUUGCGUCUGUCGUGAAAGCUCAUGGCUUAACUGUGGGUUUGCGGUGGGUGCGGACUGGCUUGAGUGCAGUAGGAGAGGCUGGAAUUCCUGGUGUAGCGGUGGAAUGCGCAGAUAUCAGGAGGAAUACCGGUGGCGAAGGCGGGUCUCUGGGCUGUUACUGACACUGAGGAGCGAAAGCAUGGGGAGCGAACAGG
rnacentral:rRNA from 1 species